AGUGGGAUAGCUGGGUCAAAUGGUGGUUCCAUUUCCCACUUUUCUGAGGAAUCUCCAUACUGCUUUUCAUAGUGGUUACACCAAUUUGCCAUCCCACCAGUAAU
rnacentral:pre_miRNA from 1 species